CUGGAUAUAAUUCAGUUUGGUAGAAUGCAUGAUUUGGGAUCAUGAUUCCGCAGGUUCAAGUCCUGUUAUCCAGA
rnacentral:tRNA from 1 species